CCUACGGGUGGCAGCAGUGGGGAAUAUUGGGCAAUGGGCGCAAGCCUGACCCAGCAACGCCGCGUGAAGGAAGAAGGCUUUCGGGUUGUAAACUUCUUUUCUGAGGGACGAAGAAAGUGACGGUACCUCAGGAAUAAGCCACGGCUAACUACGUGCCAGAAGCCGCGGUAAUACGUAGGAUGCGAGCGUUCUCCGGAUUUAUUGGGUUUAAAGGGUGCGUAGGCGGAUGUUUAAGUCAGCGGUAAACUGUCCGGGCUCAACCAGGGCCGGCGGUUGAAACUGGGGAUCUUGAGUGGGCGAGAAGUAUGCGGAAUGCGUGGUGUAGCGGUGAAAUGCAUAGAUAUCACGCAGAACUCCGAUUGCGAAGGCAGCAUACCGGCGCCCGACUGACGCUGAGGCAUGAAAGCGUGGGGAUCGAACAGGAUUAGAUACCCCUGUAGUC
rnacentral:rRNA from 1 species